AGAGUUUGAUCCUGGCUCAGGAUGAACGCUGGCGGCGUGCCUAAUACAUGCAAGUCGAGCGAACUGAUUAGAAGCUUGCUUCUAAGACGUUAGCGGCGGACGGGUGAGUAACACGUGGGCAACCUGCCUGUAAGACUGGGAUAACUUCGGGAAACCGAAGCUAAUACCGGAUAGGAUCUUCUCCUUCAUGGGAGAUGAUUGAAAGAUGGUUUCGGCUAUCACUUACAGAUGGGCCCGCGGUGCAUUAGCUAGUUGGUGAGGUAACGGCUCACCAAGGCAACGAUGCAUAGCCGACCUGAGAGGGUGAUCGGCCACACUGGGACUGAGACACGGCCCAGACUCCUACGGGAGGCAGCAGUAGGGAAUCUUCCGCAAUGGACGAAAGUCUGACGGAGCAACGCCGCGUGAGUGAUGAAGGCUUUCGGGUCGUAAAACUCUGUUGUUAGGGAAGAACAAGUACGAGAGUAACUGCUUGUACCUUGACGGUACCUAACCAGAAAGCCACGGCUAACUACGUGCCAGCAGCCGCGGUAAUACGUAGGUGGCAAGCGUUAUCCGGAAUUAUUGGGCGUAAAGCGCGCGCAGGCGGUUUCUUAAGUCUGAUGUGAAAGCCCACGGCUCAACCCGUGGAGGGUCAUUG
rnacentral:rRNA from 1 species